GUAGGGUGCGAGCGUUAAUCGGAAUUACUGGGCGUAAAGCGUGCGCAGGCGGUUUUGCAAGCUGGGUGUGAAAGCCCCGGGCUCAACCUGGGAGGUGCAUUCAGGACCGCAAAGCUCGAGUGCGGCAGAGGGAGGUGGAAUUCCACGUGUAGCAGUGAAAUGCGUAGAGAUGUGGAGGAACACCGAUGGCGAAGGCAGCCUCCUGGGCCGACACUGACGCUCAAGCACGAAAGCGUGGGGAGCAAACAGGAUUAGAUACCCUGGUAGUCCACGCCCUAAACGAUGUCAACUGGUUGUUGGGGAAGGCAACUUCCUUAGUAACGAAGCUAACGCGUGAAGUUGACCGCCUGGGGAGUACGGCCGCAAGGUUA
rnacentral:rRNA from 1 species